rnacentral:rRNA from 1 species
AUGAGUUGCAUGAGUUGGAACUGCCGCGGGCUUGGGAAUCCGGAGGCAGUUCAAGAGCUUCACAAUGUUGUGAAGCAAGAAGGCCCCAGUCUCCUCUUUCUGAUGGAGACCAAGAUUUCGGCAAAAAGAGUGGAAAGCUUGCAGAACCAGCUUGGUUUUGCGGGAUGUUUUGCAGUAAACAACAAUGGUUUGAGUGGGGGCAUUGGUAUGUUCUGG